rnacentral:rRNA from 1 species
CCCUUAGAUGUUCUGGGCCGCACGCGCGUUACACUGAUGCAUUCAACGAGCUUAUAACCUUGGCCGAGAGGCCUGGGCAAUCUUGUUAACGUGCAUCGUGAUAGGGAUAGAUUAUUGAAAUUAUUAAUCUUGAACGAGGAAUUCCUAGUAAACGCAGAUCAUCAAUCUGCAUUGAUUACGUCCCUGCCCUUUGUACACACAGCCCGUCGCUCCUACCGAUCGAAGAGUUAGGUGAAUUGUUUUGAUCGAUAAGAUUUGACUAUGGUCAACUCUCGUUGUGAAAUUCUGUGAAUCUGACUGUUUAGAGGAAGGAAAAGUCGUAACA